rnacentral:rRNA from 1 species
CCUACGGGUGACAGCAGUGAGGAAUAUUGGUCAAUGGACGAGAGUCUGAACCAGCCAAGUAGCGUGAAGGAUGACUGCCCUAUGGGUUGUAAACUUCUUUUAUAUGGGAAUAAAAUGUUCCACGUGUGGGAUUUUGUAUGUACCAUAUGAAUAAGGAUCGGCUAACUCCGUGCCAGCAGCCGCGGUAAUACGGAGGAUCCGAGCGUUCUCCGGAUUUAUUGGGUUUAAAGGGAGCGUAGGUGGAUUGUUAAGUCAGUUGUGAAAGUUUGCGGCUCAACGGUAAAAUUGCAGUUGAAACUGGCAGUCUUGAGUACAGUAGAGGUAGGCGGAAUGCGUGGUGUAGCGGUGAAAUGCUUAGAUAUCACGAAGAACUCCGAUUGCGAAGGCAGUUCACUGGACUGCAACUGACACUGAGGCUCGAAAGUGUGGGUAUCAAACAGGAUUAGAUACCCUGGUAGUC